rnacentral:rRNA from 1 species
GAUGAACGCUGGCGGCGUGCCUAAUACAUGCAAGUCGAGCGAACAGACGAGGAGCUUGCUCCUCUGACGUUAGCGGCGGACGGGUGAGUAACACGUGGAUAACCUACCUAUAAGACUGGGAUAACUUCGGGAAACCGGAGCUAAUACCGGAUAAUAUAUUGAACCGCAUGGUUCAAUAGUGAAAGACGGUUUUGCUGUCACUUCUAGAUGGAUCCGGGCGGCAUUAGCUAGUUGGUAAGGUAACGGCUUACCAAGGCAACGAUGCGUAGACGAGCUAACGGGGUGGUCGGCCACACUGGAACUGGGACACGGUCCAGACUCCUACGGGAGGGAGCAGUAGGGAAUCUUCCGCAAUGGGCGAAAGCCUGACGGAGCAACGCCGCGUGAGUGAUGAAGGUCUUCGGAUCGUAAAACUCUGUUAUUAGGGAAGAACAAAUGUGUAAGUAACUAUGCCCGUCUUGACGGUACCUAAUCAGAAAGCCACGGCUAACUACGUG